rnacentral:tRNA from 1 species
AAUAAAAUGGCUGAGAUUAAGCGAUAAAUUGUAAAUUUAUAUACGAGAUUUUUCUCUUUUAUUA